rnacentral:rRNA from 1 species
AGCGGCGCACGGGUGCGGAACACGUGUGCAACCUGCCUUUAUCUGGGGGAUAGCCUUUCGAAAGGRAGAUUAAUACCCCAUAAUAUAYUGRRUGGCAUCAUYUGRUAUUGAAAACUCCGGUGGAUAGAGAUGGGCACGCGCAAGAUUAGAUAGUUGGUGAGGUAACGGCUCACCAAGUCUACGAUCUUUAGGGGGCCUGAGAGGGUGAUCCCCCACACUGGUACUGAGACACGGACCAGACUCCUACGGGAGGCAGCAGUGAGGAAUAUUGGACAAUGGGUGAGAGCCUGAUCCAGCCAUCCCGCGUGAAGGACGACGGCCCUAUGGGUUGUAAACUUCUUUUGUAUAGGGAUAAACCUAGAUACGUGUAUCUAGCUGAAGGUACUAUACGAAUAAGCACCGGCUAACUCCGUGCCAGCAGCCGCGGUAAUACGGAGGGUGCAAGCGUUAUCCGGAUUUAUUGGGUUUAAAGGGUCCGUAGGCUGAUKUGUAAGUCAGUGGUGAAAUCUCACAGCUUAACUGUGAAACUGCCAUUGAUACUGCAAGUCUUGAGUGUUGUUGAAGUAGCUGGAAUAAGUAGUGUAGCGGUGAAAUGCAUAGAUAUUACUUAGAACACCAAUUGCGAAGGCAGGUUACUAAGCAACAACUGACGCUGAUGGACGAAAGCGUGGGGAGCGAACAGGAUUAGAUACCCUGGUAGUCCACGCCGUAAACGAUGCUAACUCGUUUUUGGGUUUUCGGAUUCAGAGACUAAGCGAAAGUGAUAAGUUAGCCACCUGGGGAGUACGAACGCAAGAAUGAAACUCAAAGGAAUUGACGGGGGCCCGCACAAGCGGUGGAUUAUGUGGUUUAAUUCGAUGAUACGCGAGGAACCUUACCAAGGCUUAAAUGGGAAAUGACAGGUUUAGAAAUAGACUUUUCUUCGGACAUUUUUCAAGGUGCUGCAUGGUUGUCGUCAGCUCGUGCCGUGAGGUGUUAGGUUAAGUCCUGCAACGAGCGCAACCCCUGUCACUAGUUGCCAUCAUUAAGUUGGGGACUCUAGUGAGACUGCCUACGCAAGUAGAGAGGAAGGUGGGGAUGACGUCAAAUCAUCACGGCCCUUACGCCUUGGGCCACACACGUAAUACAAUGGCCGGUACAGAGGGCAGCUACACAGUGAUGUGAUGCAAAUCUCGAAAGCCGGUCUCAGUUCGGAUUGGAGUCUGCAACUCGA